CCGACGGUGAGAGGUGAAAGCUGGGGGAGCAAACCGGAUUAGAUACCCGGGUAGUCCCAGCCGUAAACGAUGUGCGUUAGGUGUAUCGGUGACCACGAGUCACCGAGGUGCCGAAGAGAAAUCGUGAAACGUACCGCCUGGGAAGUACGGUCGCAAGGCUGAAACUUAAAGGAAUUGGCGGGGGAGCACCACAACAGGUGGAGCCUGCGGUUUAAUCGGACUCAACGCCGGAAAACUCACCAGAUAAGACAGCUGAAUGAUAGUCGGGCUGAAGACUCUACUUGACUAGCUGAGAGGAGGUGCAUGGCCGUCGUCAGUUCGUACUGUGAAGCAUCCUGUUAAGUCAGGCAACGAGCGAGACCCACGCCAACAGUUGCU
rnacentral:rRNA from 1 species